rnacentral:rRNA from 1 species
CGGGAUAACCCGGAGAAAUCCGGCCUAAUACCGCAUGUGGCCGAGGGGAGGCAUCUUCUUUCGGCCAAAGGAGGCGACUCCGGAGACGGAUGGGCAUGCGUGACAUUAGCUUGUUGGCGGGGUAACGGCCCACCAAGGCGACGAUGUCUAGGGGUUCUGAGAGGAAGGUCCCCCACACUGGUACUGAGACACGGACCAGACUCCUACGGGAGGCAGCAGUGAGGAAUAUUGGUCAAUGGGCGAGAGCCUGAACCAGCCAAGUCGCGUGAAGGAUGACGGCCCUACGGGUUGUAAACUUCUUUUGUCAGGGAGCAAUUGAGUCCACGUGUGGGCUUAGCGAGAGUACCUGAAGAAAAAGCAUCGGCUAACUCCGUGCCAGCAGCCGCGGUGAUACGGAGGAUGCGAGCGUUAUCCGGAUUUAUUGGGUUUAAAGGGUGCGUAGGCGGAAUAUCAGGUCAGCGGUAAAAAUUCGGGGCUCAACCCCGUCGUGCCGUUGAAACUGAUGUUCUUGAGUGGGCGAGAAGUAUGCGGAAUGCGUGGUGUAGCGGUGAAAUGCAUAGAUAUCACGCAGAACUCCGAUUGCGAAGGCAGCAUACCGGCGCCCAACUGACGCUGAAGCACGAAAGCGUGGGUAUCGAACAGGAUUAGAUACCCUGGUAGUCCACGCAGUAAACG